AUAAUAAUAAUAAUUAACUGGAUUAGCCAUUCAUGUAAAUAUCAAUAUCGUUAAGAUAUUAAUUACAAGAAGACGGUUCCAGGAAAAGAAGAGCACCGGUUGUCAAUUACUAUAUUAACUGAUAACAUCGGUAUCGAUUUGCGAGAUAAAUAUAUAUAUAUAUAUAUAUCCUGACAAUCAUAGAUUGACACCUGGAUAAUGAAUCGGACAAACAGUGAGAUAAAAGAUCUUCUUGAGAGGAAUUUCGGUGCGAAAGGAUCACAUUUAUCGCGUAGGCGGGUAAAAAUAUACUUGAGAAUCUCGUGGAUGAAAAUGGAUCCCUCGUUACCUUCCCCGCGUAAAUUUAUGUUGAUCAUAAACUUUAGAGGGUGUAUUAGUUUAAUAGUAUUCGAGGAGAAUGUGUACGGAACGUCUAAUCGAUGACGAAAUUUUUUCUCAAUAAAACUAUGAGAGAAAGAAGAGAGAUUUGAAAUUGAGAUUUUUCUUUGGAAAGUAUCGAGGAUUUAAAGAUUUUCAAUCUGAGGAAUGAAAUUCAACGUGUUCCAAAAGUUUACUAGAUCCAUCUAUCCAUCAUGAUUAAAAGUAUGAUUAGAAAAAGGAAUAAUAAUAAAUCUGGAGAAACAUUAUAUCUUCAUUAGAUACCGGAAGACUUAACAACGCAAUUUACUGAAAAUGGAGAGCAAAAUAUGAUAUAGUUGAAAGGAAAAAAUCGAAGAGAAUAUGCAAAGGAAAACAAUGGAAUAAAAAAAAUUUGGUAAAAUACAAAGGAAAAAAGGAAAUCUCAUUUUGAAAAUCUUCUUUAGAUAACAUUUAAUAAUGACAUUAUUAUAUUCUAUUCCCUCUUUUUUUCUUUUUUUUUUCAUAUUCAUUAUCAAAAAAGAUGUAGAUGUAUAAUAGACGAAGCAAUCAAUUUACCAAGCCAUCAAUUUGCCAAGAUCCGAGAUAGAGCGAGAUAUCUCGGUGCACUUGUUAAAAGCUUCCACUGUUAAGAAAUUCGAUAAAAAGAGGGAACGUAGUUGCGGCAAUUUUGCCGAGGAGAAACACAUUAUAGAAGCAAAAGCCGAGGCACAUUGAAGUGUGUUAAGAAAAGGAAAAGGUCAUGGUGGGCAAAUGGAUGAAAAGAAUGCAGGGACUGUGCGUGUUAUGAACGAGUCGUUAGUUCCAGUAGAAGAGAUCGGUUAUGGCCGAACAUCGAUCUUCGCUGUCUCUCGUGUAGCAUUAAUUAUGGUUAAGUAACUUGCGGUGAAAACCGCCCACGUGCAAUUGUAAUACUAGAAAUAUUUAUACAAUGAAGUGUGCCGAGAAGGUACAAAGUAAUAUUAAAAUUCUUCUUUUCUUUUUU